GGGUGCUUUCACAGAGUAUUUACUCGCCAUUUGAUCUCAUCUUCUCCGAACUUGGUUCUGUUGUAGUAUGUGACUGUCUAUUCGCCUUAUUCACCUGGCGGCCAUUUUGAAAACUCGAACGCCGUUGAGAGGUACACAAACCCGGAAGUUUGACUCCGACGCAGCAGCACCAGCAAUGGAAACUCCAGUGUGGACCACCAAUCUUUCCUGUCUGCCCGAAUUAACAGAACAAAAUGUGGAGCAGUUGGCCAGUACCGACUGCAACAUCCCCCGGGCUGUGUUAAUUAAGGGAUACAGUAACUGGAUCGAAGGAUUUAUCCACGACAUUGAAGGUGGAGCUGUCACUUGAGCAGCUAUUUAUAAGGGAGACGCAGUGCAACUGCAAAGCUGGCUUGGGACAGUGCAACCAUCUCAUCGGGCUGCUCUACACUCUCGCUCACUUUACCAAGAUGGGCUACACAUCUGUCCCCCAACAACGAGCAAGACGUCACUGCCUCAAGCCUGGCACGUUCCAUCGAGGGCCCUGGGUGUCAGUCCAAGAACGGUGAGCUCUGUGAGUGUCUCAAAGCUAAAACCACCAGUGACCAACGCACAUCCGCCAAAGAGGCAACGCUCGUCUGAAGGGGUGAUGUCAAACCUGUACUGUCCUGUGCCACUCCCGCUUCCAUCAAAUGCCUUUACAGAGAGCCUACACCGAAACCUGAGUCAAAUAGAAAGCAAGAGUCAGAUGUUCAAGCUGCUGGAGAACAGAAAACAGCCUGCUGCUCUUGUCUCUACUGACUUUGGAGACCUUCCAAAGGGAUCUGUGCUUACCUACCACGCAACACAGUCUUCCAGGGUUAAUGAUGAUCCCCUGUUUCCCUUACCAUCACAGCCAUGCUCAUUUUACACUGUCCUGGAUGACACUGAGUCGUGCUACUAUAGUGGCCUGGUGGUCACUCAGGCUGUUGCAAUACAGCUGGAGAUAGAGACAAGGGAACAGAGCCAUAGCAAGACCUGGCAUAAAGUUCGAGCCAACGUCUUACCUCCUCUUCCUUCAAGAGGAUUUGUUCAAGGGUGGCAGACUACAACAUAUUAGCUGCCAAUUUGAAAAAGAAAAUAGUGCAGACUAAGGUGAUGAAGAGAGGCUUGGAACUGGAGCCUGUUGCUGCGGCCGAAUAUCAAGACCUCACUGGCUAUGAGAUCUUCCCCUGUGGGUUCGUCAUCAACCACCACGCCCCACACCUAGGUGCCUCACCUGACCGAAAAGUGAUUGACCCCAGUGCCUCACCAACGCACGGCCUCCUGGCGAUCAAGUGCCCCAACAAAGGGAGCGUGAGAGAUUGCAAGUACUUGCGUUGCAAGGCUGAUGGUAGCCUAGCCUGAAGACCACACAUGAAUACUAUUUUCAAGUGAUGGGGCAGAUGGGCAUCACUGGGUUGAAGUGGUGUGACUUUUUUUGUGAAGUGCAGUGAUGACCAUCACUUGGAGCGGGUGCACUUCCAACCAAAGGAGUGGGAGAACCAGGGUUUCCGUUGUCCGUAAUUACCGGACAUUGGCCGGUAAAAAAAUUAAAUGUCCGACAGAAUUAAAUCUCUCCGGUCAAAUUGUCCGAUUAAAAUUGCCUAAUAAUCCCGUCCCCCUAACACAAUCUGAAUUUGAGAAUAAGCCUAAAAUGUAUAAAGCAAAAAUACACCGAUCUCUUGCUAUGUUAUAAAGGAACAGGCUCUAUCGUUUGAAAGUUAUGAAACAACAUCGCAUGCUGCAUUUCAAAUAAAGCGCACGCCUAAAACGGCUGCAAUAUCUAAACAACGAACGAUUGAGUGAGACGUUUCAAAUAUGGCCAGGCCCAGGCAGACUAGCUUUAAAAGCUUUUUUCAGAGGCCAGACGAUGGUGAAUCAGGAACAUCUCAUUAUAGAUAGAUCAGCGCUUCUAAUCCGCGCAUUCGUGCAGUUUUUUUUCUCUAUCAUCAAAACUGAAUAGCCUAUGUUCAUCAGUGCAUGGUUACAGUCUAUAUCAAUCAGGGACACGUUUGUGUGCAUUUUAUUUUGUGAUUUCACCGGAAUUAAUAGAGAGUCUCCGCAAAGGCGAUAGAUUGAAACGCGCGUCCUAGUGAAGAUUGCGCAACUCGCGCAGCGCGUCGUCCAUGCAACUGAUAGCAGCGGACACGAGCGCUCAGCUUGAUUUCAAAAACAACAGAUUUUAGCGCUAGAUCUCUUAUUUAAUAACGGACUAAAUGAAUGAUCUGCUAGUUAACUGGAGAUGUUUUAUUUAUUUGUAUUAGGUACAUCCGUGCCUCAAUGUUUCAAAAAGUGAAUGUGUGUGAAACCACAGUAAAAAAGUUUUUUUUCACAGUUUUUCCGUCUAUUUGAAAGUUAAGCUAAUAAUAAUAUGUUGCAUUCUAUACGGCCUGAUUAUGUCAUUUUUUAAGUUACAUAGACUGCCUCCAAUUUUCCUCAACUUGACUAAUUAAGAGGCGAUAUAUUUGACCGGCAUAUCAUCAAAAUGUCCGUAAAACGAAACCUCUGACCGGCACCAUUUUUUUCUAGCGGAAACUCUGGGGAGAACAUAAAAUGUAAAUUGGACACAUUCUUUUUCUCUCACUUUCUGCCUUCCUUGUGUAACAAAAUCAUGUAAUACAUCACUGAUAAUCUGUUUAUAUAUAUAGUUCUUUUGUUAAUGUUUUUAAAUGGUUUGUUUCUAAUGUUCUGACCUGUUCCGGUUCCUUUUCCAUACUUCUAUGUACAUGGUUACCUUUACAAACCUAGACCAUUGUGCCUAUGUCAAUGUUUGUUUUAAUGUUUUCUGAUAUUCCGACCUGUUCUGGUUCCGGUAUAUUAAAUUAUAAAGUUAUGAAGGACAUCA